GUUGAGUUUCCGGAAGGAUCCUUCAAUCCCAAAUAGUUCGUCGGACGUUUUGGGUCGACCAGGACGUUUGGAUUCAUCCGACCUCAUUUUGGACGUCGCAAUCAGAAAAUCUCGACGAUCCUCACACUUUUUCUUCCAGUGAGAGCGGAUCCCAUCCAUCGAAGAAUUCCGGAAGAGCCGUACGCAUCGUUAGUGUCAGGUCCAGCUUCUUCUUCGCUUUCUCCAUGCUGAAUUUGCAGCCGCGUAAAUAUCUCAACAGGAAUUUGGCGUCUUAAAAUGUGUGAGAGCGAUAAGAGAGUAGGCGGCGCUUAUCAAAAUAACCAGGCCAUUUUUCGAAUGAUAAUAACAAGCCUCGCUUCCACUAGAUUGAUAGAUUAAUUCUAUCGACAUUAAGUUUUCGGAAAGAUCCUUCAAUUCCAAAUAGUUCGUCGGACGUUUUGGGUCGACCGGGACGUUUGGAUUCAUCCGACCUCACUUUGGAUGUAGCAAUCAGAA